GGAGGGAUGACCGAGUGGUAAAGUGCCGUGCUGAAACCACGAGGCCGAGCUAAGGCUCGCGGGGGUUCGAAUCCCUCUCCCUCCG
rnacentral:tRNA from 1 species